AAAAACUUUCACUUAUAUUUACUACUUAUGAGCGUCGAGUAGAGUCAAACUAUGUUAACCCUUAGAGACUUGUCAUGUGGUUAAAAUCAAGAUCACGUACACUCCACCCACACAUGUUGCUUCUACACUGGAAGUAUGCAUCCACAUCCACUCCAUCUAGAUCCACCCAAAAUUGUUCUACUCCUACACUAGGAGUGAACACCAAAAACAUACUUCUCAUCCAUUCACCC
rnacentral:lncRNA from 1 species